rnacentral:rRNA from 1 species
UGGAACCUUACUACAUCAGGGUCUUUCACCGUAAACUCUAUGUAUCGUGCGCUCACGCAUUCUGAGGUGCCGGUGAGUAAUAAUAAGAAAAUUUCAAGGUCGAAGAUACCACUAAAAGUUAAAAUCUUCAUGUGGUAUCUUCAUAGGGGAGUUGUGCUAACCAAAGACAACCUCGCACGACGCAAUUGGCAAAGGAGUAAGAAGUGUUGUUUUUUUUCUCAUGCUGAGACAAUCAGACACCUCUUUUUUCAAUGCAACUUUGCACGUUCUACAUGGUCAGUCAUCCAAAUAGCGUCAAGUUUAUAUCCAUCCACAAGUGUUGCCAAUAUUUUUGGUCACUGGUUGGACGGUAUUUCAAAUAGGUUCAAAACGCUAGUGAGGGUGGGAGCGUAUGCCUUACUAUGGUCGCUUUGGCUAUGUAGAAAUGAUUUUGUUUUUAAUGACAAAAAUGCUUCUCUUCUGCAGGCUAUUUUUCGUAGUACAUACUCGCUUCGUACGUGGUCUAGGCUACAAUGA